AGCGGAGUAGAGGAGCCUGGAGUCCUCGUCGGGCCCAUAACCCGGAGAUCGCGUGGUUCAAAUCCCGCCUCCGCUA
rnacentral:tRNA from 1 species